AUGGCUUCGCAGUUCGCAGUCGUGGCUCUUUGCUCCCAGGCGGCAGAGGGGAAUGGAUUUCUGGUGACAGAAUGGGGAUCGGCUCUGCUGUGGGUCAGCUUUGGGGUGGUCUCACCUCUCCUGGAGGGAUUGCUGGACAUCUGCAGAGAUGCUGGGAGCGAGAGCAGGAGCGGGGGGAUCGCUGUCCUUGCAUAGAAAGGUAUUUGCCUCCGUAUCUGCUUGGCUUUCUUACAGAAGGACAAUUGUGGUGGAAAUGGUGGUCUUGGAGUUGGGGUGCAUAGGUGGGCGCCGGGACCGCGUCGCAAAUUCCAUGUUUUGGUCCAAAUAUAUGUUAGGGGUGAGCAUGAGCCUUUUGCAAGCAGGUUUGGAACUGAAGGAGAGCAGAAUUAAUGGAAGAGUCCUACAGAAUAUAGCAGGGUGUUCUCUGCGCAGAUCUUUGUGUUGUCCUGUAGCAUUGCGUCAUCCUAUAGCAUUGUGUUGUCCUAUAGAAUUCCGUUGUCCUAUAGAAUUUCAUCAUACUGUAGCACUCCAUUCUCCUAUAGAAUUCCCAUAGAAUUCCAUUAUCCUAUAGCGUUGCGUUCUCCUAUACAAUCCCGUUAUCCUAUAGCAUUCAGUUAUCCUAUAGAAUUCCAUUAUCCUACAGCAUUGCAUUUUCCUGUACAAUUCUGUUAUCCUGUAGCAUCGUGUUAUCUUACAGAAUUGCAUUAUCCUAUAGAAUUGAACACAGAGCACUUAAAAGUUUGGGUUUUUUUUCCUUUUAUCUCUUUGAUUUUUACUCUUCUGAAGGAAUUAUGAAACAUCAGUAGCACUUGUUUUUAAUUUUGUGACCAAAAGAAAAUCUGGGAUUUUUAUUUUUCCUUCGGGAAAGUGUGAUAUGCUGAUUGAGCAGGAUUUGUUCCAACCUUGAAUAAUGGGUUUAUGAAGGGUUAAUCAAAGCCAAAUAGCAUUAGGAGCGUGUUACAGAUGCACAUCUUGUAGAUAAAAACACCAAAUUGAUUAAUGAGGACCGAGAGGUUGACAAACAUCUGACAGAACUCAAGACAACCCCUAUCAGAUGAGCAGGAAUUCGUUAGGAUGCCUGUUAAUUGUUUCACACAACAGUAAGUGUUUAAUAUAAACAAGCAAAGUACUGCCGACGACAUUACAGCACACAGGGGAAAGCACUGCUGAGAUGUGGGGCUGUUUUUGGGGUGAACUUCCCCAGUCUUGGUGUCCGUCCCCCUUUGCCUCCUAUGCACUGCCUCCAAUUAACUCUUUCGCAUCUUCACGCUCGGCCCCAGUCAGCUCCACUUUGCUUCCCCACAACGCGGCAUCACUGCUCGCAUCGGGAGCUCCCGAAAACUUUCCUGCCUCCUUUCUUUCCUUCUUUCUUUUUUUCUCCUUUUCCUUUUCUUUUUGUCCAUUUGCUUUUCAUUUCCCCAUUCCAUUCUCACUACGGCCUUCCCCACCGGCAAAACCACGGCGACAAAAUGGCCGUCAGGCAGCCAUUUUGUGGGAGCCGGCAGUGGCUGCGGGCAGCUCCGCGUUUCCCUUCUGCCUGCUCCUGCUGGGGCUCCAUGGGGCUGAAAGGACUCUCAGAGGCUCAGCAUUUCCCUCUGGGAAGUCCUGCCCGUGCCCGGCACAUUUUGGCACCGAGCUCAGCGCUGCUGCUAUACAAAGGCUGAAAGCUGCGCCUGCUUUGAACGGAGCGACCUUGUUGUUGCAUGGUUUCCUCCCCCCCUCCUCCUCCAUUUCAUUCAGUUCUCCUUAAUAAGCCAGAUCAGCUCCUCAAAGCUGUUCCAGCUCUUUUCCGAAGCUCCGUAACACCACGAUUUGAAAGGCAGAGGCUCUGCAGGGCCUCUUUGGCCUUCAGACCCACAGACAGUUGUGGGUCCACAUUGAGGCAUCUCCCGGGGUUCCAGUGUUGGCUGCAGUCACUUUUCCAUCUCGAAAUACAAGCAGGAAAGCCAGGGUGGAAUGGACAUUUUGCCUACAUGAGGGAUCUUGCUGGGAAGAAACCUCGCCGUCGUUCACCUGCCAAUUCCUAUUCCACCUUUGGCUCAUUUUUAUGUCCCCGUAUGGAUCUGGAAUGGGAGAACAGCAGUGCUGCCCCCCAAAAAUCUGUGCUCAGAAAAUGGCGUUUUCCUGAUCCAUAGAGAGUCUAAAAAUCUUCCAAAAUUUCAGGUUUUAUGGGCUCAGAAGGCAGUGGAUGGCUUUGGGGUAUGGGCUCCUGACCCCUGCGGACCCUUCUGGCUGUUUUAUGCCGAUUUUUGCAGUGCAGUAUUGCAUUCAGGCACUUGUAAAUGGAGUGGCUCAGUGGCAUUGUGCUGGAAGGGAAGGUUGGACGCCUGGAAACUGGGAAGCCAUGGUGGUGGGAAGGUGCCUGGAGACAGGAGCAGGACCUGCUCAGGGUGCUCCCACUGCCAGCUUUCCUAUGGACCCAUCUCGUGAUCUCUGGCAGAUUUGGUCACAUCGCUGCUUCUUUCCUCAUCUUUAGACCGUAAUCCAUCGUGGAGAGGGGCCAUCCGUACAGCACCAGCUGUGACAGUGGCACAGGGGCCACGAGAGUCACACUGAUCCUUACAGCAUUUCUAAAUUGUCCUAUUUGACUGCUUUCUUUGUAGGUCCUGGCAGGACCAGGAUUGCAGUGUCAGCAGCUCAGUAUUCCUGAAACCUACACUCAUUAAGACAAUUAUCGUAAUUAAAUCUCCUGUUUUCAGGAUUACUUGUAGAAGUCAGAAGGGAUUUUUUUUUUCUUCUCCUCCCCACGUAUAAUUAGAUUGAUGUAAAUGAGGGGCUAUGUAAUGUAAUUUCCCAUCCACAGUUUGGUAUUAACCCAAACUCCUAUUCUCUGCAAUGGUAUCAAAAGUGAGCUUGUAAAGUCCUGCUCCUCUGGUUGGUGCCUGUGGCACCAGGUUAAGCUUUGGGAAGCUAAAACACUUUCAGAUAGAAAACCUGGAGUCAGAAGGAACCCACAAGGAUCACAGAGCCUGACUCCUAAACUUCUGACUAAAUGAAUCCCUCUGUUCCUGAUGGUAACUGCUGCAAAGCUCUGGAUGCUGUUGCAUUAAGCAUUAAGGAGGGAGGUUUAACCGCUGUGCAUCGUUUGCUGAGCCAAUAAAACAGGGAGAAUAUUAUUUCCCAUCAUAAGGCUGUUUGGGAUUCAAAGCGCUUGGCACCGUGGACGGGUCGGGUACUUUAAUGCUACGGGAAUCAGUCCUGCAAUGCUGAUUUUCUGACACUGUUUGUAUGUUAUCACACAGGGAGAGGCCUGGGCCAGAUGGCCUGGCACAGUGGGUCACCCCAAGGCUGAGUUUGUCAAAGGAAAUUAAAAGAAUUAACUGGGUUGUGCUGACUGUUAGUUGAGAAGCAUUUCUGGACAGCUUGGCGAAGGAAUGUGGGCACUUUCCAAGCCUCGCUGCACAGAUAUCCUUUUUCCUGCCCAUCUUAAACUCUCACCUUGGGGAGCCCAGCUACAACAGCUGACCAGAGCUUUGGGUAUCUCACUCAUGCACUCUGUUGCCUGUUAGCUGUGGAAAUGCAAUUCAUUAGGCAUCCUCUGUUCCUUUGGUGAUGUAUGCCUUAGCCCCUGCAUCUCCCAUCCAGCCGUGGGCAGAUGGGACCCCUCCUGCUUCACAGCACUGAGUUCUUUUGGGAAGUCCUUUGGGUCUUUGCUGCGUUGCACAUGCAGCCCCUUCAUGUGCUGCUGAUGACUCCCUUUUCCUUAGAUCCUCCUUUAAUCUCCAAGGGAAAAUCUUUCUCACUGCAAGAGAACCACACACAUCUUCUAAACUGCCAGCAUAAUACCUUGCAUCUGCAGUUAGGUGUACAGAGAAUGAAAAAGGCUCAGAAGGUGAGCCAAGGGCUUGGGGGGAAGCCAGCCUGUCUCUGCUCCCCGCCAAUAGUGCCUGGCUGUGCUGUAGCAUUAAAGGACCUGCAUGUUGCUUUCAUUUGUUUGGGAAAUGAGAUCUGCCUUGAUGUACUCAAUACCAUUACAUGCACGGCCUAAAAGCUUCCUUGUACUCAGUUAUUUCUAAUCUGCUCAGUUCCCUGGAGUGCAUAACAGCUAAAUUGAUAGAUUAUUUUAUCUAGUCUGGCAGGUUUGUUCUAGAUAUGCUGUGUGUUCAAGAGGUGAGGUCAGCUUGCCUGUAUAUUAUUUGGUGCUGCUGCAGCUUCGGGCAGGCUGUGCUUGCUGUGUGCAUGGUCCUGGGCUCAAUCUGCUGCUUCCAUGAGCUCUUGGGUGCAUAAAGUUUGCAACCAGCAAGAUUUUCAAGGAUAUAUUAUAGUCCAAGUGCACUGAAGGAGCUAUAAGGAGGAAAGGGAGCUCCACGACAAGGCUGAGUGUGAGACUUGCUUCUUUCAGCAGCACAAAGUCUGAUGAAUUCUUAUGCAUUUCUCUUCAUAGGAACCACUGAGCAGUCAGUACCUGGAUGAGGAUCAUCUCACUGCCCUGGAUGGCAAUGGUCCCAAGCUGUCCUUGAGGCUGAGGUAGUAGAUUGAAUAGUUGUGGAGUCUUAUCCUCCCUUUGAGCUAACUAUACAAUCUACUGUCUUUCCUAAGGAGACAGUCAGAUCUUCAGCUCGUCUGCUUUGACACAAAGCAUGGAGACAGGUGGUGCAAGGAAUCCUGCUCCUCCACAAAGCAGGGAAUCACAGCAGACCUCUGUACUGCUCUGUGGAGAGCAGCAAUACCACCAGAGGAGAUGCUCAGAGAUCCUGGAGCAAAAACAGCACAUGGCACUAUUGAACAACACAGUGGCUCUUCUCCUGCAGCAUCCAGGAUUGUGUCAUUCCAGGGAAUAACUACCAAAUAUCCACAUAAAGAAAAAUGUAUCUCUCAUUUUUAAUGGCUGCAAGAGAAACAAUGAAAUGAGCUGGCUUAGCCAAGAACUCAAAGCCCCGUGAGCUGAUCAGAUUUUGGCUGGUUGACCCCUGAAAGUCCAUUCUGGUUUUGGACAAGUUCCCAGCUGUCCCAUGGGACAGAGUUACAGGGUGGUUCUUUCUGAUUUGAUAAUCUCUAUCAACCCAACUCACACGCAAACCCUGCUGGAGACAUUUGGGCUCCUAUGUAUUUACGUAAAAUAAGCCAACAAUUCAGACCAGUGCCCCGUCCUCAGGAAACAGGUGAGAAAGAGAGAUGAGCCAAAGGCAGCAAGUCCUGAUCCCUCUUGUUCCUGCCAGGUAGGUGGCACUGACAUCUGACAGCAGAUGCAGGAGAUGACAGCCUGCUUCAGAGCUCUGGCACUUGACAAGGGACAGAGAAUGGUUAUUUCUUCCCUUGGUGAGAAGCAGAUGGGACAACCCCUCCACCACAUUCCAGAGUAAAUAGAAUCCAGAUCACAGGAGGGACUGUAACUCGAUGAGGGCUGCACCAGUUUCUCAAGACUGAAGGAUGUCUCGGGACAUUAUCACCAGCAUCUCACUGCCAGGGAAACGCGUGAGAUGUGAGACACUGAGGAGCAAGGGCAAACCGAGGGCACCUUCUCAGAUGAAUCGGGAGGAAGAGAACUGCAAUAAGAAAUUGGAGCCCUCAAAUUUCACCCUGGAAGUGAAACACGGGGCGACUCAGAGCUGGCUGCUCGGGCUGUGGGACUGCCAUCAGUGAAGCAGCUCAUUUAAGGCUCCUCUGCUGCUUGGGAUAGGGCGUAGCUUCAGCAAGGCUGGGAUGGGACUUCCUCAGGCUGGGCAACAGCUGGAGGGUGGGGAUGUUGGAGUAUCUAGCAGCAGAGGAAUGCAGCCCUCUGCUCCAUAUAUCUGGCUUUCCAGGAGUCAUGGGAACCUGUCACACAAAGCUACAGCUCGCUUCUCUUCUACACAUUCUUUACCUCCUCAAGGGCAGGGCUUCUACCCCCAGCAUUGCUCGGAAGGUACCAAAGCAGCAGCACGACUAUGGGAACAGGGCAGCGCAUCAGCUUCGUGUUUAAGGGGUGUCCCCUGGAAAAGGAUUAAUCCUGUGGGUCCCAAAUGAAAUCGGUUCACUCCCCAUCCACUGCACUGAUGUUAACACAAAGAAUUUUAAGCAGCAAAACGGUAUGAGAUGAAAACCAUGAGUAAAAUACCACUAGAGAUACUCUUCUGUGAAAAUAAACUUGCUUUGAUUAUUGUAUUAUAUAUAUUUUUAAUAGUGUCUUUUACUGCCUUGAAGCAAGCAUGGCUGAUGAGCUGGGGCCAGGGUUGGCUGGUGCUCCUGACUGCGUGUCACCCAGCAAACCCUGCACGUGACCAAAGCCCUGAGCCCAAAGGGGAAACCAGGACAUGACAAGGGGAGGUGGGGUUGGCUGAGCAGCCGAGGCUGUAGGUCCUGCUGUCAGCAGGCACCGUCCUGGGCCCAGGAUGGGAAAUGUGACAGAACUCCACAGAGGCAGCAAGGCCCCGUCCAGCAAGGAUCCUCCAUGCCGGGGAAGGAGUGGCCACAUGGAAACCUCCUCCUCUUUGGGUCCCCAGACUCUUGCAGCAGCUUCGCCAGGCUCCUUUCCUUCCAGGAAUCUCCCACCAACUCACUUCAGUGGCUGAGCAUCCUUCAGGCCGUCCCCAGAAACAGAGCUGGAAAUGCUUCACAAGUUUCCCUUGGAUGUUCCAUGCCCUUCCCUGCUUACCAACCACACUCUCAAUCCACGUUUGCCACGCAGCUGCCUUCCCUCCAUCCCUAAAUCCUCCUGAUUUGGGACUAAACCAAAGCACUCCAAAUCCUCACCUUGGCAGCGCUCAGCCCCGCUGUCCCAGGGCACAGGGGGAAGAGGAAGGAGAAUCUGCCUUCUAGUUUUGAAUUUGCUGCUGCAAGGAACUCUAUAAAUAGUGCUUGCACCAUUCUGUGACUGCAAGUGUCAAAGCUUUUGGGAAAAGAAAACUCAACCAUAAAAAAAAGAUGAAAUACUUAAAAAAAACACCUCUGGAAUGCUUUGCAUGGGCUCAUGCAAACUCUGUUACUGCUGCUCUGAGCCCCACGGUGGUUAUUGAGGUAGGAGAGGGGGAAGCACCCAACAUUGCAAAACAAAUCCGAUGCUGACCAAGUGCUCUCAUUUCGCUGGGAGGAGAAACACUUUUCUGCUCUUUUAAUCAUUGGUAGGGGAUUAAUGAUACGCUCUCCUUCACCCGGGUGGGCAAACAGUUGCAGCCCUGAAGUGCCAUCCCUGCUCUGUCCCUGCUUUACCCCUGGUAGGGCUGCAGGCCCUUGCAACAGGUGAACAACAGCCGCUCUGGCUGGACUUCUGUCACUUGUCAGCAGCUCCAUGCUGGGUGCUUUUCCCCUUGCAGCUUGCAGGAGCUCAGCCAUGCAACAACCCUUAGGAGAAAUCAUUUUAAAAUCUGAUUCUUAACUACACCUGAUGCUUGUGAUUAAACAGAGCGCUGUACAGUGAGGUCAGUGCUGCUCACUCUCCGCAGUGACUGUCCCACUGCCAUCUGCUGGUCACCAUUCAGCAGGGUUAGCAGUGACCGUGACCUAAAAACACCCCACGGGCAGCUGCUUCCUAUCAGGGAGCCGUGCUGCUGUGCUCCUGCAGCAGAACCGCAGGGAGAGGGGAAGCACAGAGCAGCCUCAAAGCAACAAGCAAAGGUCCAACGUCAGCAUCAUUCCUGUGCUGUGGGUUCACCCCUUGCAGUGCCGGUGCUGUGAUGUUCAGUGGGGAAGGGACAGGGGAGGACAUUGCAUUUAGCUUCUUUCAUUGCCACGCAGAUGAAGACGUGCUGGGGUGGGAGGAGGCUGCUCGGCUUCGUAGCAGGGAACCAGAAGCACUCCAGCAUUAAUUUCACCUUGGUUUCUUUUUGCUCUGAGCUCCCUUCAUCUUGCUUUCCUUGCCCACAGAUUCCUGCUGGAGACACAUUUUUGCUCAACACUCAGUUGAUGGAAUAUUCCCUACAAAUAAUAGGGAAUAGGGAUUCUCUAUUCCCUAUCGUGCUGAACGUCCUCCUCCUCCUGCUUUUAAUUGGGCUAAAAACAUAAACCAUAGAAUCAUGGCUUAGGUUGGAGGGGACCUUAAAGAUCAUUGAGUUCCAAAAGAUCAAAAAGCUGCAGAACCCAGCACCCAUUGCUGUCGAGAAGCCAAAAAACAAUAACAACAUUGAGCACUUGGAAGGAGCCAGGGUGAUGUGCAGCAAUUCUACUUAAAUGCACAACCAGGAUUGUUUUUCAGAUACAAGCCGACUUCUGGAGAUCCCCAAAAGAAACCAUGUGCCCCACAGCAGGCUUUCAGAACAGGAUUUAUUCAGUGCAUGCUCUGGAGAUGCACAGCACACAGCAUCAGGAGGAGGACUCAGACAUUGGACUUAUCUCCACCUCAUCUGUUUAAUAAGCCAAAGAAUGCAGCAACCAGAGAAGGACUGGAUCUCCUCGUUCCUUCUGCUGGGCUGCAAAACUUGCCCCACAUUUAACACCCCCUGCUGGGAAUCUUCAGGUGAACAGAGCAGAAACAUGGAGGAAUACAACACACAGUGCUCCAGAGAAUGAAAGCCAUCCUGCAACAAGUCCUGGAAGCACCAGUACCCUCUAACGUCAUUCACUUGGCUCUCUCAAGCUGAAACUGCACCAGCAGACCUGAUUAUUUUUCCUCCUGGACCCACAUAUAUACAUCAACCAGGAUCUGGAUCUAACUGCAAAUACGUCGUACACUUAAGAUCUGCAAAGAGGGAAGCCGUGCAGAAGAAAGGAGCAGUAACUCCUCUCCUGUGCUGGAGGUUUUUCUUCUGUGCAGGCACACACGUGCAGGCACAAGCGUACAAUAAGGGCAUGACAACGGAGUAACUGUUGGAGCAGAAGUGAGGAAGGAGGUAAAGACUGCAGAGGGAUGGCAGGAGAAGGAGUACGUCUAGACACUGGCCAUAGCUCUACCCAGAAGUAGGAAACACAAACCUCUUCUGUGGACAAAAAUGCCAUUUUUGGACAAGGAAGGAAGAGGUGACACUUCUCCAAAACUGAGACAAACAGACACACGAGGAGAGAAAGAGAGCAUUUCUGGUAGAAAUCCAUCCUGAUACACAGACAUCAGACGCAACGAUCGUGUCUUGCCUCCAAACAAAUACCAAAGCCAACCUCCAUGUCCCAUUGCCAUUUGGGUUUCCAGGGCAUUCUGCUUUCCCCGGGACGUGGUGCAGCAGGACCUGCCGGCCACACAGGGCAACGAGAGCUUAUCAUCUCCUAUUGGAAACAGAGCAGAAGCCCAGGCUGGCUAGGAAGAAGGGAGAAGUAUUGGUACCCAAGUUCACUAGCAUGAUGGCAGACACCCUUCUGCCCCUGGGCUGUCUCAGGAAGGGCACUGAGUGCCCAUGUGAUGGCCAGUAGCCCUUGGCACAGCAGGGCUGGAGCGGGUGAGCCAGAGGAAGAAGAGAGUGUGUCAACCUGAACUGCCCGUGGUGUCUCCCAAGCCUACCAGGGUGGUGGGACAACCAUGCUGAAGAAAGCCUUGGCGACCGGUGCAGGGACAGCUGAGAAAGUCUGUUCAAAGCAGAAGGCCCACCAGGAUGACACAGGGCAGGAGGAGGAG